CCUAAGGUAGCGAAAUUCCUUGUCGGGUAAGUUCCGACCUGCACGAAUGGCGUAAUGAUGGCCAGGCUGUCUCCACCCGAGACUCAGUGAAAUUGAACUCGCUGUGAAGAUGCAGUGUACCCGCGGCAAGACGGAAAGACCCCGUGAACCUUUACUAUAGCUUGACACUGAACAUUGAGCCUUGAUGUGUAGGAUAGGUGGGAGGCUUUGAAGUGUGGACGCCAGUCUGCAUGGAGCCGACCUUGAAAUACCACCCUUUAAUGUUUGAUGUUCUAACGUUGGCCCGUAAUCCGGGUUGCGGACAGUGUCUGGUGGGUAGUUUGACUGGGGCGGUCGCCUCCUAAAGAGUAACGGAGGAGCACGAAGGUUGGCUAAUCCUGGUCGGACAUCAGGAGGUUAGUGCAAUGGCAUAAGCCAGCUUGACUGCGAGCGUGACGGCGCGAGCAGGUGCGAAAGCAGGUCAUAGUGAUCCGGUGGUUCUGAAUGGAAGGGCCAUCGCUCAACGGAUAAAAGGUACUCCGGGGAUAACAGGCUGAUACCGCCCAAGAGUUCAUAUCGACGGCGGUGUUUGGCACCUCGAUGUCGGCUCAUCACAUCCUGGGGCUGAAGUAGGUCCCAAGGGUAUGGCUGUUCGCCAUUUAAAGUGGUACGCGAGCUGGGUUUAGAACGUCGUGAGACAGUUCGGUCCCUAUCUGCCGUGGGCGCUGGAGAACUGAGGGGGGCUGCUCCUAGUACGAGAGGACCGGAGUGGACGCAUCACUGGUGUUCGGGUUGUCAUGCCAAUGGCACUGCCCGGUAGCUAAAUGCGGAAGAGAUAAGUGCUGAAAGCAUCUAAGCACGAAACUUGCCCCGAGAUGAGUUCUCCCUGACUCCUUGAGAGUCCUGAAGGAACGUUGAAGACGACGACGUUGAUAGGCCGGGUGUGUAAGCGCAGCGAUGCGUUGAGCUAACCGGUACUAAUGAACCGUGAGGCUUAACCUU
rnacentral:rRNA from 1 species